rnacentral:lncRNA from 1 species
CUUCUUUUCUCGAACAUAGGCAGGGAAUAAGUUAUCAAAUAAUGCAUCCAUGAAAACUUUCUAGAUGGUAGGGGUAGGUAAGAUCUCCUUUUUGAGUCAUCACCAAUGUUCAACUUUACUGUUUAGCAUAAAAGCUGCUAGGGGAACUUUUUAUUCCUUAAGUCAUAUCUAGGAUAGAGAAAAGCUUCUCCAUUUGUAGGAUCCAGGCUUCAGCUACUAAGGGGUCAGGG